UGGGGCAUGGUGUAAUUGGCAACACGUCGGUUUCUGGUUCCGAAGAGUCUAGGUUCGAGACCUAGUGCCCCAUCCA
rnacentral:tRNA from 1 species